GAUGAACGCUAGCGGCAGGCUUAACACAUGCAAGUCGAGGGGUAACAUUAGUGCUUGCAUCAGAUGACGACCGGCGCACGGGUGCGUAACGCGUAUAGAACCUACCUUAUAGUAAGGGAUAGCCCAGAGAAAUUUGGAUUAAUACCUUAUGGUAUAUUAUUUUGGCAUCGGGAUGAUAUUAAAGAUUUAUUGCUAUAAGAUGGCUAUGCGUUCUAUUAGUUAGUUGGUAAGGUAACGGCUUACCAAGACAUCGAUAGAUAGGGGCCCUGAGAGGGGGAUCCCCCACACUGGUACUGAGACACGGACCAGACUCCUACGGGAGGCAGCAGUGAGGAAUAUUGGACAAUGGAGGCAACUCUGAUCCAGCCAUGCCGCGUGUAGGAAGACUGCCCUAUGGGUUGUAAACUACUUUUAUAGAGGAAGAAACCCCUGUAUGUAUACAGGUUUGACGGUACUCUACGAAUAAGGAUCGGCUAACUCCG
rnacentral:rRNA from 1 species